GAAGAAGGCCUUCGGGUUGUAAAGCACUUUCAGUCGUGAGGAAGGUAGUGUAGUUAAUAGCUGCAUUAUUUGACGUUAGCGACAGAAGAAGCACCGGCUAACUCCGUGCCAGCAGCCGCGGUAAUACGGAGGGUGCGAGCGUUAAUCGGAAUUACUGGGCGUAAAGCGCAUGCAGGUGGUUUGUUAAGUCAGAUGUGAAAGCCCGGGGCUCAACCUCGGAAUAGCAUUUGAAACUGGCAGACUAGAGUACUGUAGAGGGGGUAGAAUUUCAGGUGUAGCGGUGAAAAUGCGUAGAGAUCUGAAGGAAUACCGGUGGCGAAGGCGGCCCCCUGGACAGAUACUGACACUCAGAUGCGAAAGCGUGGGGAGCAAACAGGAUUAGAUACCCUGGUAG
rnacentral:rRNA from 1 species